ACCGUUCCCAGAGAAAAAGACCCCCCACUCUCGCAUUUCGAGAGCUCGUCUCCUUCAAAAAAAAAAAAACAAGAGCACUCCGACCCCCCUUCUCUCUCUCUCUCUCUGCCUGCUUCCCCCUGUGGAAUAGAGAGGGAAAGCAACGGUACAAAGGAGGGUUGGGGUUUGGGCGGGAGUACGAUUAAUCGAGGGGGUUGAGAGCGCCGCUUCGAUCGGUCCAAAGAGUUCUGAGACAUAUUCUCGACGGGAGUGGAGUUGGUCUAUUCUGCAGGGAGGCAAACAAGCAGAGAAGAAGUAAAAAAAAGGAUUACAAGGAAGAAAGGUAAGCAGGCUAUCUCUAUCUAUCAAUCUAUCAGUGUUCCUCCUUUAAGCCCCUCCUCCUCCUUUCUCCUCUCAGCUUUCCUAGAUUUCUGUGCUCCUCUUCUCAUGAAACAGCCAUAUCCUUCUUCCCAAAAGAUCCCCUCUUUUACUGCUUAAAAAAAAUAAAUAACAAGGAUCCAGGUUAGAUCCUGUCUUGGCUGAUCCCUUCAUUCUAGUGAAGAUGCAUUAGGAACCGUUGGAUUUUGUUUUAAACCACUCUUGUUUGGCUCCUAUCUGUAUUUGUUUCCGAAAAUAUAUAAGUUAAAAAACUUGACCGUUUCCUCAAACAUUCCAUGUCUGGUCCAUGGUAGUGGUUUCGAAGCUCGAUUCCAAGCUUCAGCCUCAAAAACACUUGUUCACACGCUCCCAUAUCCAUCUCAUCCGGCUCCCACCAACUGCCCUCUUCCAUGGUCUUUGUUUCUAUAUUUAAACCCCCAGUGUCCCUGAAGACCAGCAGGUGUUGCCCUACGAAGCUGCUCACCAUCCCAAAUGACCAGAUUGCCCUUACCGCUGUUACGGUCUCGAAGGGUAAUUUGGUAAUCAUGGUGAGGGGGGGUGACGUGUAGUGGUCCCGUAUGGGGGGAGAUCUCUUCGUAGCGUUGUUGGUUUCUGGUCGCCAGAGGGCAGGCACAUGGGAGCGGCAGCGGCUGCAGCAGCGCUGCUACAUACAUUGAGAACUCUUGCCCCCAGCGGCUCUCAGUGGUGGUGUGCCGCUCUUUAAGUCAUGGAGGAGUGGCCCGGAGCUUCCACUAUGGAUACGUGAAACCCGGGGGAGUACGUUUCUUGGUGUCCGCGUCCCCGAAUUGCCCUCGGCUCAAAGCUGCACUUCUUGGCCACUCUAUCAUCUCGUCGAAGCUGGCUGGAGGGACAUUCCCGUCAUUUUGAGGUGUCUGGGUACAAAUAUUUCAGGUUGGGGAGCUGUUGCGUGUGGGAUGGAGAGAAGAGUGGGGGAAGAGACGAGAGGUGAGGAGAGGGGGAAGUUGGAACAAGUACAGUUAAUCUGGGGUUGGUAAAAUAUUAAAGAGUUAUAAAAGAGGGGAAAAAAGGGUGAGAGACUUACUGCCCUUGCUUUUAUUUCUUUUUCUCUCCAGGAGAAUGAGAAGAGUGAAGAGAAAGGAACAGGGGAGAAGGGGUCUCCUCCCCAAAAAGGGAGGCCGGCCUCUACGGCCAAGCUAGAGAAAGAGUGGAAGAAAGCUUUGGUCUUCAAGUUAAGGCAUUUGCUUCCCUCGGCACGAGAGAAGGCGCCAAGGCGUCGACAACGGUGGCGGUGGCAAAGGAGGAGAUGAUGGUGGGCUGCUGGUGGUGGUGGAGGUGGUGGUGGUGGUGGAAGGCUACAUACACAAGAUGACGAGGUUUUGUUGUUGUUUUGACGUGUAUGUUCGCUUGUGGAAGUGGGAUAUUGGCGUAAUAGGCUCAAUCACCCUUUUUUUUCUUUUCUUUUUUCAAAAUCUAUUUUGUUUUCUUGUCUACAUUUCACAUAUAUAUUUUUGGUAGCUUUUGGCUUUAUUUUUGUUUUUAAAUUCUACUUUGUCUUCCCCUUUUGUUCCCUAGCGUUGGUUUGUUCAUGUGAAUGAGAUGCGGGCAUGUUGUCACAUAAAUGGAAUGGAAUGGUUGAUGGUGAUGCUGUGUGGGAAUGGGAAGGUAAGAUGGGGUACGGCUUUCGUUGGUUUUGGCUUCGCUUCAACAUCUCCUUUCCCUUGCUUGCAUUUUGCAUCGUAGAUUGGAUGCUUUGUUUGGCAUGUCGUCUCCUUCCCUUCCUUUCUUUCUUUUUUUCUCUUGUCUGUUGUAGCUUGGCUGCUACAUUUGGCCACCAUGCAACAAAUUCUGAUGGAGGCCCAGCCUCCAUGUUGGAACAAGACUAGGAUGUAUAGGGGACAAGGAGGUCUGCCUCCACUCCAGGCCUACAGACCAUAUCAUGGGGAUGGUGAACUAUCAUCUCCUAUCACCACUAACACCACCAUACAUGCCAUCCUCUUGUCCUCAGUGACCAGAAGAGUCGAAUAUAGUAGAGGUGAGCGCAGAUUUUUUUACUUUUGCAACCAAUGGCGACAAGUGGAGAUGUGUACAUAAUUUUUUUUUUAAUCUACCCUGUCUGAUAUAUUAGUGUGUAAUAGGAUGGAUUGGGUUGUCUUUUUUUAUAUCCGCUGGCUAAUAAGGUGGAAGGCUGUUGCGGAGAUGAAGCUUUUUCACUUUGAUCAGAGGACGGGAAAUUUCUUGGUUGCUGGGAGAUCUGAGCCCCGUGAUUUCAAUUGUUCCAGGUGAUCUUGUGGGUGUGGCGCUGGUGGUUUGAUCAGUUGAUGUGCAUCUCAAGUGUGUAAACUUUUUGAACCAGCUAC